rnacentral:rRNA from 1 species
CAGCGCCGCGGUAAUACGAAGGGUGCAAGCGUUAAUCGGAAUUACUGGGCGUAAAGCGUGCGUAGGCGGUUUGUUAAGUCUGUUGUGAAAUCCCCGGGCUCAACCUGGGAAUGGCAAUGGAUACUGGCAAGCUAGAGUGUGUCAGAGGAUGGUGGAAUUCCCGGUGUAGCGGUGAAAUGCGUAGAGAUCGGGAGGAACAUCAGUGGCGAAGGCGGCCAUCUGGGACAACACUGACGCUGAGGCACGAAAGCGUGGGGAGCAAACAGGAUUAGAGACCCCUGUAGUCCCUGUCUCUUAUACA